rnacentral:sRNA from 1 species
ACCUAGCCCCGAUUGAAGCAAUUGUUUGAGCUCCUUUUUUUUGAUUUUUCUUCAAAAAAAAGAGCGAGUGCGGAAAGCGGGAAAUAGC